rnacentral:rRNA from 1 species
UACGAAGGGGACUAGCGUUGUUCGGAAUUACUGGGCGUAAAGCGCGCGUAGGCGGAUCGCUAAGUCAGGGGUGAAAUCCCAGGGCUCAACCCUGGAACUGCCUUUGAUACUGACGAUCUGGAGAUCGGGAGAGGUGAGUGGAAUUCCGAGUGUAGAGGUGAAAUUCGUAGAUAUUGGGAAGAACACCAGUGGCGAAGGCGGCUAACUGGUCCAGAUCUGACGCUGAGGUGCGAAAGCGUGGGGAGCAAACAGG